ACGAAAUUCGCUACAGUUAGCGAUAGAAUUUCAAUAGCCGACCUAGCAGCGACUAAUACACCAAACCCAUGAACCAUAUCCAAGUUCAUGAACCAAAUCCAUACACCAAAUCCAUGAACCAUAUCCAAGUUCAUGAACCAAAUUCAUACACCAAACCCAUGAACCAUAUCAAAGUUCAUGAACCAAAUCUCAUGAGCCAAUACUCAAAUCUCAUGAACCAAUACCCAAAUCUCAUCGUGAACUUUUUUUUUACUCUGGCACAUAUACCUAGAGUAAAAAUUAAAUAUCGACUACCCCUAAUACAUAUACUUAGGGCUAAGUCAAUUGGCUUAGCACAUAUAACUAAGGCAAAACAUCUCCAAAUCG
rnacentral:lncRNA from 1 species